rnacentral:rRNA from 1 species
GUUUUUUUUUUUUGGAGGCGCAGCUACCAUGCAGUCGACGGCAGCACAGUAAGAGCUUGCUCUUACGGGUGGCGAGUGCCUUAACGGGUGAGGAAUGCAUCGGAAUCUACUUUUUCGUGGGGGAUAACGUAGGGAAACUUACGCUAAUACCGCAUACUACCUACGGGUGAAAGCAGGGGAUCUUCGGACCUUGCCCGAUUGAAUGAGCCGAUGUCGGAUUAGCUAGUUGGCGGGGUAAAGGCCCACCAAGGCGACGAUCCGUAGCUGGUCUGAGAGGAUGAUCAGCCACACUGGAACUGAGACCCGGUCCAGACUCCUACGGGAGGCAGCAGUGGGGAAUAUUGGACAAUGGGCGCAAGCCUGAUCCCCCCAUACCGCGUGGGUGAAGAAGGCCUUCGGGUUGUAAAGCCCUUUUGUUGGGAAAGAAAUCCAGCCGGCUAAUACCUGGUUGGGAUGACGGUACCCAAAGAAUAAUUACCGGCUAACUUCGUGCCAGCAGCCGCGGUAAUACAAAGGGUGCAUGCGUUACUCGGAAUUACUGGGCGUAAAGCGUGCUUAGGUGCUCGUUUAAGUCUGUUGAGAAAGCCCUGAGCUCAACCUGGGAACUGCUUUGGAAACUGGACGACUAUAGUGUGUUAGAGGGUAGCGGAUUUCCUGGGGUAGCAGUGAAAUGCGUAGAGAUCCCGAGGUACAUCCAUGGCUAAGGCAGCUACCUGGACGACACUGACACUGAGGCACGAAAGCGUGGGGGAGCAAACAGGAUUAGAUACGCUGCAGUCCACGGCCCAAAACGAUGGCGAACUGGCAUGUUGGGUUGCAUUUUGGCACUACAUAUCGAUGCUAACCCGCUAGUCGCCGCUGCGGAGUUACGUGCCUCAGAAUGAUCUCAAGGAAUUGGAUGGGGGCCUGCACAUGCCCUGGAUAUCGU